UUUUUAAUUGAAAUCUUGUAUGAAUGGUUGGACAAAAGAAUUACUGUCUUUGUGUUAAAAUUGAAUUUAACUUUUAAGUGAAAAGGCUUAAAUGUUCUAGAAAGACGAUAAGACCCUAUAAAACUUUACAUUAAAGUUAAUUUUUAUAAAAUUUAAUAAUAAAAAUUUAAUUUAGUUAUUUUGUUUUGCUGGGGAGACAAUAGUAAAAUUUUUAUUAACUGCUGAAUUACCAGACAAUAGUAUAUGUAUAAAUAAAUAAUAGAUCCUUUUUAGAGAUUGAAAGAUUAAGUUACUUUAGGGAUAACAGCGUUAUUUCUUUUGAGAGUCCAUAUCGAAAAAGAAGAUUGCGACCUCGAUGUUGAAUUAAAAUAUCUUUGUAAUGUAGCUGUUAUAAGAGAAAGUCUGUUCGACUUUUAAAUUUUUAC
rnacentral:rRNA from 1 species